AUCAUUUUUCCGCAUUUUAACCAGUAUCGAGUGUAAUAUUUGUUCUAAUCAAUUUGAUGUCUGAUUUGUUCUCUUAACAAGAGCGUUAAGCAGAUUGUUUUUUUAGAACAAGGAGUUGGGGUAGGGGUUUGCUCUUUCAGCUCCAUGUACUAACCUGAUGUUGUAGUACCUCUAUCUUUGUUCUCGAAAA